rnacentral:rRNA from 1 species
CAAUAGCGUAUAUUAAAGUUGUUGCAGUUAAAAAGCUCGUAGUUGGAUUUGUGGCGUACGGUGGGUUCCGGGCACUUGUUGUCUGAGUAACUUGCUGUUGCCAUCCUUGGGUGGAACCUGUGUGGCAUUAGGUUGUCGUGCGGGGGAUGCCCAUCAUUUACUGUGAAAAAAUUAGAGUGUUCAAAGCAGGCUUAUGCCGUUGAAUAUAUUAGCAUGGAAUAAUGAGAUAGGACUUUUUUGCUAUUUUGUUGGUUUGCGCAAAGAGGUAAUGAUUAAUAGGGACAGUUGGGGGUAUUCGUAUUCCAUUGUCAGAGGUGAAAUUCUUGGAUUUUUGGAAGACGAACUACUGCGAAAGCAUUUACCAAGGAUGUUUUCAUUAA